rnacentral:rRNA from 1 species
UUGUCGGCGAGUUUGAUCCUGGCUCAGGACGAACGCUGGCGGCGUGCCUAAUGCAUGCAAGUCGAACGCAUUCUUCGGAAUGAGUGGCGCACGGCUGAGGAACACG